CCUGGCUUUGCCACAGGCAUGCCUUCACAGAAGUCACUUAACUAAGUCUAGGUUCCUCAUCUGUGAACUGAGAAAACUAAAAGCACUGAUUCCAUGGGGUGCUUAGGAAGAAGUCACCCAUGACUAUCUGGAACAACAUUGUGGGGAAGGCCAAGUUUCUGGUCACUCUCCAUCUUUUCCGCCAGUGCCCAACUGACUGAUCUUUACAGAUGGUGUCAACAGAUGCAUCUACCCUCUGGCUUCAAGUUGAGUUGGCCAAUGAAGGGAGGCGCUGCGGAAAGUACAUGACAUUUGCAGUUGUGGGCGACUGUGCUGUGGGAUGAAACCAGGCUCCUCAUCAAGAUGAACAUAGAUUCAAGUCUCCAUCUUAGCCAUUUCCUAGUUCUGUGAUUAUAAAUAAACUCCUUGACUUUUC
rnacentral:lncRNA from 1 species